UGGUGGAGCGAUUUGUCUGGUCAAUUCCGAUAACGAACGAGACUCUAGCCUACUAAAUAGUUCGGGGACCCCCACAAAGGGGCCCCGCUUCAACUUCUUAGAGGGACAGGUGGCAUUUAGCCACACGAGAUUGAGCAAUAACA
rnacentral:rRNA from 1 species